UACGUAGGGUCCGAGCGUUGUCCGGAAUUAUUGGGCGUAAAGAGCUCGUAGGCGGUUUGUCGCGUCGGAUGUGAAAACCCGGGGCUUAACCCCGGGCCUGCAUUCGAUACGGGCUGACUAGAGUACGGCAGGGGAGACUGGAAUUCCUGGUGUAGCGGUGAAAUGCGCAGAUAUCGGAAGGAACAUCAGUGGCGAAAGCGACUUCCUGGACCAAUACUGACGCUCAUGUGCGAAAGCGUGGGGAGCAAACAGG
rnacentral:rRNA from 1 species